UUUAGACUAGUGAUAUAUUCAUGUGAAGAAAUAUGAUGAGAUUUAUAGAAAUCGCAUCAUCCGUUUACACUAGCGUGAACUUCUAUAAUGAAUAUAUUCAUAUCUUCGGUGAAAUUAUUCACCUGAAGUAGAACUGCAUCCAACUUUAGUGAUUUCUCACCAGUGAGAAAUUCACAAGCGUUUACAUGUGCUGAAUUUAUUCAAGUUAUAUAUACCUCGAAUAAGUGUAUCAUAUUUAUUCUCACCCGUUUACACCUAUUUUCACGUGAAUAAAUCCAUCUAUAGCUAUAGAUCUCCCUAAUGUAAACCCGCCAUAAGAUAAAACUAACUAUGAAAGAUGAUUUCCACGUUUAAAACGUGUUUUAUUCACAGCUCUUGUUCAUCCGGAGAAUCAAUUGAAUAAUUUUCUUGCGUAUUCCGAAGUCGACGCUUGGCGUGUUAUAGAAAUACAAUCCGGACAAGGUUCCAGUGCCCACGGAGAGUAUCUGCUAGUAUUUCAAACGUUAGCUAUUUAUGUCGAUUUGCAAGGCCGAAAGUCUCGAGACUGAGAAAUUAUGUACCCGGUCAUACCCACCAAUAUAACUGUCCCAGCAGAACUGUCAACACGUAACCUCCACUAGUUUAUUGUCAGAAAAAUCUCACAAAUACCCCGAUCAACCAUCACAAGCAGAGCUAGUACUCACUCCAUCAGCAGCAGCAACCUCAUACCUACAGUAACCAACAGCAGGUGCAUCUGAUGAAUCACUCCAACUACUCGAUGGAAAGCGAGGAGGGUGAUGUGGAAGAUAUCCGAGGUUUUUCAUUAUCUAGUUCGAAGAGUAAUCUAAGUGAUCAUUCGCUGGUAACGUCCGUAUUUUAUCCCAAAAAUGUGACAAACAGUAGCAAUCAAUAUAUGUCUUCCCUACAAAGUAUGCAUAGCGUAAUGAUGCCGAAGCAGGAGGUUCAUCAGUUCCUUGUGCGUACGUUCUCUAGUCCCACUAAGUGUAACCACUGCACCUGAUAGUUGGUGAUCGUGAGUUGUGUGGUUUCGCUUGCCACAUGAUCUGCUGCCAGAAGGUGCCCACGCAGUAUCCUGUGCGAUCCGAUCAAACCAAACGGCCGCUCGGUAUUGAUCGGACCCGACAGAUACCGCGUACGAGGGCUACGUGAAGGUGCCCAAGCUAGGGGCGGUCAAGCGAGACUGGGUUCGACAGUUUGUUGUUGUUUGUGAUUUUAUGCUAUUUCUGUACGACAUCUCAACAGAUCGCAGUGAUUUACCA